UACGGAGGGUGCAAGCGUUAUCCGGAUUCACUGGGUUUAAAGGGUGCGUAGGCGGCCUUGUAAGUCAGGGGUGAAAGACGGUAGCUUAACUAUCGCAGUGCCUUUGAUACUGCAGGGCUUGAAUGUACUUGAGGUAGGCGGAAUGUGACAAGUAGCGGUGAAAUGCAUAGAUAUGUCACAGAACACCAAUUGCGAAGGCAGCUUACUAAAGUAUGAUUGACGCUGAGGCACGAAAGCGUGGGGAUCAAACAGG
rnacentral:rRNA from 1 species